UUCAAAUGAUGCUUGGUAUUUACAGGUAAUUAAGCGCUCCCUUGAAGUUUGGGGUAGUGAGGAAGCAUUAGAAGAAGCUAAAGAAAACCGCCAAGAUAACAGAGAGAAGAUGAAACAGAAAAAAUUUGAUAAAAAAGUUAAAGAAUUACGGCGAGCUGUAAGAAGUAGUUUAUGGAAAAAAGACACAAGUAUCCACCAACAUGACUAUGGAACUGAAGAAAUGAUAGAUGAUGAUACGUACAGAAAGAUCUGCAGCACAUGUGGUCAUGAAUUAACCUAUGAAAAGAUGUAGAACGAUUUGGAUUUACAUUUGAUGCAUUUUUGUAUUCAAGUGUUUAUAUAAUUGAUAUGGCAUAUCAUAUAAUUGAUAUGGCAUAUUCUUUCUGGCCUACUUUGCAUAGCCUAACCAUUAUCCAGAAAUAAGAACUGAAAAUCUGGUAGAAAAGAGGCAUAAUAAUAAUCCUUUUAUAAAAAUGUUACAUUUAUUGAAUAAUAAAAAUAUUUAACUGUAUAAUACUUACACAGUUAAAUGCUUAUCUGUUA